CCUACGGGUGACAGCAGUGGGGAAUAUUGCACAAUGGGGGAAACCCUGAUGCAGCAACGCCGCGUGAAGGAAGACGGUUUUCGGAUUGUAAACUUCUGUUCUUAGUGAAGAAUAAUGACGGUAGCUAAGGAGCAAGCCACGGCUAACUACGUGCCAGCAGCCGCGGUAAUACGUCGGUGGCAAGCGUUAUCCGGAUUUACUGGGUGUAAAGGGCGUGUAGGCGGGAGAGCAAGGCAGAUGUGAAAUUCAAGGGCUCAACCCUGGACCUGCAUUUGAAACUGUUUUUCUUGAGUGAUGGAGAUGCAGGCGGAAUUCCGUGUGUAGCGGUGAAAUGCGUAGAUAUACGGAGGAACACCAGUGGCGAAGGCGGCCUGCUGGACAUUAACUGACGCUGAGGCGCGAAAGCGUGGGGAGCAAACAGGAUUAGAUACCCGAGUAGUC
rnacentral:rRNA from 1 species